AUGUACAUUCUUACAUCAUAGCGUGGAUGCACUAGAUUCCAUUAGAACCCCGCAGUUCGCUUGGGCUAGAGUAGUACUCGGAUGGGUGAUCGCCCGAGAAGUCCUAGUGUUUUACAUG
rnacentral:rRNA from 1 species